UACAGAGGUCUCAAGCGUUGUUCGGAUUCAUUGGGCGUAAAGGGUGCGUAGGCGGCGCGGUAAGUCGGGUGUGAAAUCUCGGAGCUUAACUCCGAAACUGCAUUCGAUACUGCCGUGCUUGAGGACUGGAGAGGAGACUGGAAUUUACGGUGUAGCGGUGAAAUGCGUAGAUAUUGGAAGGAAUACCUGUGGCGAAGGCGACCUUCUGGACAGAUACUGACACUGAGGCACGAAAGCGUGGGGAGCAAACAGG
rnacentral:rRNA from 1 species